GCCCAGACUCCUACGGGAGGCAGCAGUGGGGAAUAUUGCGCAAUGGGGGAAACCCUGACGCAGCAACGCCGCGUGAGUGAAGAAGUAUCUCGGUAUGUAAAGCUCUAUCAGCAGGGAAGAAAAUGACGGUACCUGAGUAAGAAGCCCCGGCUAACUACGUGCCAGCAGCCGCGGUAAUACGUAGGGGGCAAGCGUUAUCCGGAUUUACUGGGUGUAAAGGGAGCGUAGACGGCAGUGCAAGUCUGGAGUGAAAGGCGGGGGCUCAACCCCCGGACUGCUCUGGAAACUGUACGGCUGGAGUGCAGGAGAGGUAAGUGGAAUUCCUAGUGUAGCGGUGAAAUGCGUAGAUAUUAGGAGGAACACCAGUGGCGAAGGCGGCUUACCGGACUGUAACUGACGUUGAGGCUCGAAAGCGUGGGGAGCAAACAGGAUUAGAUACCCCAGUAAA
rnacentral:rRNA from 1 species